UACAGAGGUGGCAAGCGUUGUUCGGAAUUAUUGGGCGUAAAGAGCUCGUAGGCGGUCUGUUGCGUCGGCUGUGAAAACCCGGGGCUCAACUCCGGGCCUGCAGCCGAUACGGGCAGACUAGAGUUCGGCAGGGGAGACUGGAAUUCCUGGUGUAGCGGUGAAAUGCGCAGAUAUCAGGAGGAACACCGGUGGCGAAGGCGGGUCUCUGGGCCGAUACUGACGCUGAGGAGCGAAAGCGUGGGGAGCGAUCCGG
rnacentral:rRNA from 1 species